rnacentral:lncRNA from 1 species
CUCUUUUCUCUCAUAUUGUCACACUAUGUGUUCUGACUUCUGGCUCCUUUCCUCACAAGAAGCUCACCCAGCUGGAACUCUUAUGGGACCUUGGCACCAGAGACCACAAAUUCCUCUUUGAAGUUUUCUAACAGCAACAAUGGUAUUUCUGACUUGGCUUUCUUGUAUUUCUCUCACGUUAACAAAAUUGGUUCAGCAUCUACCAUGGGCUACAUGCUGAGCUACAGAGUUUCGCUCUGUCGCCCAGGCUGGAGUGCAGUGGCGCGCGAUCUCGGUUCACUGCAAGCUCCACCUCCCGGGUUCACGCCAUUCUCCUGCCUCAGCCUCCUGAGUAGCUGGGACUACAGGCGCCCGCCACCACACCCAGGGAACUGCCACAGCCACCUCAACCUUCAGCAAACACCACCCUGACCAGUGAGUGGCAAUCAACAUUGAGGCAAGACCUUUCAGCAAAAAGAUUAUAAUUCUCUGAAGACUCAGAUGAUCAUUAGCAUUUCUAGCAACAAUGUAUUUUUAAAUUAAGAUAUUUGAUGUGAUUCACCAGUACAGCCAUAUGAAGAUGAUAUUUUGAUUUUAGGAAUGUUUCAUUACAAAUGCAAUUCCUUCAACAGAGGCUUUUUCACUCCUCAGAAGAAAAAGUGGACACUAUAUGCCCCAAUGCAGCCGCAUUCCUGCUGGUCCCCAAAAGUAUAGUCACAAAAUUAAACAGGAGCUGACAUACUGUGAGGAUGUUCAGGUAGCCCUGUGGAGAAUCCCACAUUGGGAUGAACUGAGACCUUCUGCCAACAGUAAUCUGAGUGAGCCCUCUUGGAAGCGGAUCCUGUAGGCAUGGUCAAGCCAUCAGAUGAUUUCUCAUGUGGUUGCAACCUUGGCUGACAGUUUGAUCCAGCUAAGCCAUUCCCAGAUUCCUGACCCUCAGAAAUUAUGUGAAUAAUAAAUGUUUGUUGUUUGAGGCUGCUA